CGCGGCCUAUCAGCUUGUUGGUGAGGUAACGGCUCACCAAGGCAUCGACGGGUAGCUGGUCUGAGAGGACGAUCAGCCACACUGGGACUGAGACACGGCCCAGACUCCUACGGGAGGCAGCAGUAGGGAAUCUUGCGCAAUGGGGGCAACCCUGACGCAGCAACGCCGCGUGUGGGAUGACGGCUUUCGGGUUGUAAACCACUUUCAGUGAUGACGAAAAUGACGGUAAUCACAGAAGAAGGUCCGGCCAACUACGUGCCAGCAGCCGCGGUAACACGUAGGGACCGAGCGUUGUCCGGAUUUAUUGGGCGUAAAGAGCUCGUAGGCGGUUCUGUAAGUCGGAUGUGAAAACUCAGGGCUCAACCCUGAGACGCCAUCUGAUACUGCAGUGACUAGAGUCCGGUAGAGGAAGAUGGAAUUCCUGGUGUAGCGGUGGAAUGCGCAGAUAUCAGGAGGAACACCAAUGGCGAAGGCAGUCUUCUGGGCCGGUACUGACGCUGAGGAGCGAAAGCAUGGGGAGCAAACAGGAUUAGAUACCCUGGUAGUCCAUGCCGUAAACGUUGGGCACUAGGUAUGGGAUCAUAUCAACGGAUUCCGUGCCGUAGCUAACGCAUUAAGUGCCCCGCCUGGGGAGUACGG
rnacentral:rRNA from 1 species